rnacentral:rRNA from 1 species
CCUACGGGAGGCAGCAGUGGGGAAUAUUGGACAAUGGGGGGAACCCUGAUCCAGCGACGCCGCGUGAGUGAAGAAGUAUUUCGGUAUGUAAAGCUCUAUCAGCAGGGAAGAAAGAAAUGACGGUACCUGACGAAGAAGCCCCGGCUAACUACGUGCCAGCAGCCGCGGUAAUACGUAGGGGGCAAGCGUUAUCCGGAUGUACUGGGUGUAAAGGGAGCGUAGACGGCGAUGCAAGUCUGAAGUGAAAGGCGGGGGCCCAACCUCCGGACUGCUUUGGAAACUGUAUGGCUGGAGUGCAGGAGAGGGAAGUGGAAGUCCUAGUGUAGCGGUGAAAUGCGUAGAUAUUAGGAGGAACACCAGUGGCGAAGGCGGCUUACUGGACUGUAACUGACGUUGAGGCUCGAAAGCGUGGGGAGCAAACAGGAUUAGAUACCCGAGUAGUC